rnacentral:rRNA from 1 species
GAUGAACGCUGGCGGUGUGCCUAAUACAUGCAAGUCGAGCGAAUGGAUUAAGAGCUUGCUCUUAUGAAGUUAGCGGCGGACGGGUGAGUAACACGUGGGUAACCUGCCCAUAAGACUGGGAUAACUCCGGGAAACCGGGGCUAAUACCGGAUAACAUUUUGAACCGCAUGGUUCGAAAUUGAAAGGCGGCUUCGGCUGUCACUUAUGGAUGGACCCGCGUCGCAUUAGCUAGUUGGUGGGGUAACGGCUCACCAAGGCAACGAUGCGUAGCCGACCUGAGAGGGUGAUCGGCCACACUGGGACUGAGACACGGCCCAGACUCCUACGGGAGGCAGCAGUAGGGAAUCUUCCGCAAUGGACGAAAGUCUGACGGAGCAACGCCGCGUGAGUGAUGAAGGCUUUCGGGUCGUAAAACUCUGUUGUUAGGGAAGAACAAGUGCUAGUUGAAUAAGCUGACACCUUGACGGUACCUAACCAGAAAGCCACGGCUAACUACGUGCCAGCAGCCGCAGUAA